rnacentral:rRNA from 1 species
UGGUUGAUCCUGCCGGAGGCUACCGCUAUUGGAGUUCGAUUAAGCCAUGCGAGUCGCGAGAAAUUAGAUUCUCGGCGUACCGCUCAGUAACACGUGGGUAACCUGCCCUAUGCUGGAUAAUAACCUCGGGAAACUGAGAAUAAUGAUCCAUAGUUCACUACGCCUGGAACGGUGAGUGGAUGAAAGCUCCGGCGGCAUAGGAUGGGCCUGCGGCGUAUCAGGUUGUAGGGGGUGUAACGUACCCUCUAGCCCUCUACGCGUACGGGUGUUGGGAGACAUAGCCCGGAGAUGGAUUCUGAGACACGAAUCCAGACCCUACGGGGUGCAGCAGGCGCGAAAACUUGGCAAUGCGAGAAAUCGUGACCAGGGAACUCCAAGUGCAUCGGGUAAGACCGGUGCUUUUCUUGACUCUAAAUAGGUCUUGGAAUAAGGGGUGGGUAAGGACGGUGCCAGCCGCCGCGGUAAUACCGGCGCCUCAAGUGGUAGUCGCUUUUAUUGGGCCUAAAACGUCCGUAGCCGGUCUGAUACAUUCGUGGGUAAAUCAACCAGCUUAACUGGUUGAAUUCUGCGAGGACGGUCAGACUUGGGACCGGGAGAGGUGUGGGGUACGCUCAGGGUAGGGGUAAAAUCCUGUCAUCCUGAGCGGACCACCUGUUGCGAAGGCGCCACACUAGAACGGAUCCGACGGUCAGGGACGAAGCCUAGGGGCACGAACCGGAUUAGAUACCCGGGUAGUCCUAGGUGUAAACGCUGUGGACUUGAUGUU